rnacentral:rRNA from 1 species
AUUGAACGCUGGCGGCAGGCCUAACACAUGCAAGUCGAACGAGUGGCGGAAGGGUGCGUAAGGUCUGGGAAAAUGCCCGAUGGAGGGGGAUAACUACUGGAAACGGUUGCUACAAACGCAUACCUUCAGCUGUGCCCAGAUGGGAUUAGCGAGGUGGUGGGGUAACGGCUCACCAGGGCGACGAUCCCUAGCUGGUCUGGGAGGAUGACCAGCCACACUGGAACUGAGACACGGUCCAGACUCCUACGGGAGGCAGCAGUGGGGAAUAUUGCACAAUGGGCGCAACCCUGAUGCAGCCAUGCCGCGUGUAUGAGGAAGGCCUUCGGGUUGUAAAGUACUUUCGGCGGGGAAGCGUUACCCGCAGAAUAAGCACCGGCUAACUACGUGCCAGCAGCCGCGGUAAUAC